GCCUGAUUAGCUCAGUUGGUAGAGCAUCUGUUUUGUACUCAGAAUGUCGGGGGUUCGAAUCCUUCAUCAGGCU
rnacentral:tRNA from 1 species